CUUGCUGCAAAAUCUCAUGCUUACUAUUCUAUCCUAAUUCUCCUUGACCUCCCUACUGCUUUUGACACAGUUGAUCAUAAAGAGCUUCUUCCCAUCAUCUAAUCUCGUUCUACAAGAAAUUGCUCUCUGCUGGUGCACCUCCAUCUCCCAGCACGCUUUCAUGGUUUAGUUAUCUGGCUCUGCCUCUUCUCACCAACCCCAGUUGGUUGUCCUUGGUCCCCUACUAUUCUCAAUCUAUACUGCCUCCCUUAGUAAACUCAUCAGCUCCUUUGGUCCCCAAAUCUGCCCAGUUACAGUUUAUCAUCAAUGCGGCAGAGAGGCUCAUCUUCCUUCCGCCCGCACCUUCCACUCCUCACCCCUAUGUCAGUCCCUGCAUUAGGUUCAUGUAAGAUUUAGGGCUCAAUUUAAAAUUCUGGUUCUUGCUUACAAAUCUCUACAUAAUGCUGCUCCCACCUUUCUAUCCUCCAUAAUACACAAGUAUGUCCCCGUCUAGGCCCUAUGUUCUGCCGAAGAACUAGAUCUAUCCUCUGUGCUCCCACCGCUGAUGCUUGCCUUCAAGACUGCUCUAGAGCUGCACUGUUCCUUGGAAC